UACGUAGGGUGCAAGCGUUAAUCGGAAUUACUGGGCGUAAAGCGUGCGCAGGCGGCUUUGCAAGACAGAUGUGAAAUCCCCGGGCUUAACCGGGGAACUGCGUCUGAUACUGGAUGGCUUGAGUUUGGGAGAGGGAUGCGGAAUUCCAGGUGUAGCGGUGAAAUGCGUAGAUAUCUGGAGGAACACCGGUGGCGAAGGCGGCAUCCUGGACCAAUACUGACACUGAGGAGCGAAAGCCAGGGGAGCAAACGGG
rnacentral:rRNA from 1 species